CUAAUUGUUUCAUAUACUUUUUAAUGGAUUCAUGUUUUGUUAGGUACAAUAAAUACAUGUGUAAGGCUUCUACUUGAUCCGAAAAUAAGCGUGGAAAGAAAAAUGUGUAAAAUUUUCUAAAGGGACGAAACCACACAAAUUCAACCAUAUCUCUUAAUACUGAAGAAUUUUUUUUUCUACAAUAACAAUUAACAAUAUCAGCAAUUAAUUGACUAAUUUGUUCUUUUUAGUGAUUUUCGUUUGUUAGGUACAAUAAAUGGUUGUAUAAAGUUUUAACUUGAUCUCAGAAAGAGUUCCGAUUCCGAUACAGAGUGAGCUGAUAUAAGCUUUGUUUUUUUAAAACAAUAAUUACAAUAAAUUUUAAAGAUGCGUAGUCCGCAUAUGGGG